GCUGCGGUGCUCGUCGUGACUGUGAGCAGAGCCCAGGUGCAGCAGGAGCCGUCGGCAGUGACCAGCGAGGGCACCGGCAUCAACAUUACCUGCUCACACCCCAACAUACAGGCCGAUUCCAUCCACUGGUACCGUCAGUUCCCGGGCCGAGGCCCCGCAUUCCUCGUCAGCGCCUUCAAAGACUCCAAGGAGGUGGUGGACCCGGCGGGGUGGCUGUCGGUAUCGGCAGACCGCCGCUCCAGCGCCCUGUGGCUCACGCAGCCCAGGCUCGGGGAUGCGGCGGUGUAUUACUGCGCCGUGAACCCACGGGGAGAGGAGCCGGGGCUGCGGCCGGGCACGAACCUCAGAGGGCGGGGCCGGGCGAGAGUGGGAGCGUAGUCCCGUCCGGGCCCGCAGGGGGCGCUGCGUCCAGGGCCGCCAAACUCCAUCCUGACCAGGAUGAACUUCCCUGAGUUCUCGAGAGAAUUGAGCACGGCACCCGCAGCAGCGAUUGAUGGAGGCCAGUGUGAGUCAGACACAGUUAUGUCUGAAGUGGGCAAAAUGCCAUAACUGGCAACACGAGCUGUGUUGGACAGCGCAGUGACCUCCUCACAUUUACACCACAUCUGCUAUGCUCUCCUGCCUCCCCAGUGCUGCGCUGAUGAGAGCAGGAGUAGCCCUGUUCCUAAGCAGGGUGGCUGCAAAAGGUCAAAUUGAACAUUGGCAGUAAGCUCAGACUUCAAGGUCUGUAAACAAGGCCUGCAAUACAGAUAACAGCUAAGCUUUAAUAGAAUCAUAGAAUGGCUUGUCUUGGAAGGGACCUCAAGCUCCGACCCUCCUGCCAGAGGCAGGGCCAUCAACCUCCACAUCUAGUACGAGACCAGGCUGCCCAGGACCCCAUCCAUCCUGGCCUUGAACACCUCCAAGGACGGGGCAUUCACAGCCUCUCUUGGCAGCCUGUUUCAGCACCUCACCACUCUCUUAGUAAUGAACUUCCCCCUGAUAUCCAACCGAAAUCUUCUCUCCUUCAUCUGAGAACCAUGUCCCCUUGUCCUGCCAUUAUCUACCCUUGUAAAGAGUUGACUCCCCUCCUGUUUGUAGGCUCCCCUUAGGCACAGAAAGGCUGCAAUGAGGUCACCCCGCAGCCUUUCUAACAAAGCCCUCCAAGAGUACAGAAAGGUUUUUUAUGAUAGUACUUUUUUCCCAGCCAAUGACCAAAAAAUGUCACGGUUAACCCCAGUUAGGCCCAGUUCCAUGUCAGGAGGCGAAACGACCCAUGGUCCUAGGCCCUGAGAAAGGGGGAAGAGGGAUAGAGAAAAGGUAGGGAGAUGGGCCUAAAAACAAAGCAUCAGAAACAUGCUAAUCAUGAAAACUGAUUUACUAAAUAUUAUAGCAGAAUGUGAGAUAACACAAUGUAACAUAAUAUAACUGGAAUUGAAGCUAAUAAACCAAAUAAAUGAGAGAGAGUUUCCAAAAUCUAAAAGUCUUACUCUAAUGCUGAAGACAAGAUGGCUA